rnacentral:tRNA from 1 species
GCCUGGGUGGCUUAGUCAGUUAAGCAUCUGACUUCAGCUUAGGUCAUGAUCUCCUGAUCCGUGGGUUCGAGCCCCACAUCAGGCU